rnacentral:rRNA from 1 species
UACGGAGGGUGCAAGCGUUAAUCGGAAUUACUGGGCGUAAAGCGUGCGUAGGUGGCUUGUUAAGUCAGAUGUGAAAGCCCCGGGCUCAACCUGGGAACGGCAUUUGAAACUGAUAAGCUAGAGUUGAAUAGAGGGGAGUGGAAUUUCAGGUGUAGCGGUGAAAUGCGUAGAUAUCUGAAGGAACACCAGUGGCGAAGGCGGCUCCCUGGAUUCAAACUGACGCUGAGGUACGAAAGCGUGGGUAGCAAACAGG